UACGUAGGGAGCAAGCGUUAUCCGGAUUUAUCGGGUGUAAAGGGUGCGUAGACGGGAUUACAAGUUGGUUGUGAAACCCCUCAGCUCAACUGAGGAACUGCAACCAAAACUAUAAUUCUUGAGUGCAGGAGAGGAAAGUGGAAUUCCUAGUGUAGCGGUGAAAUGCGUAGAUAUUAGGAAGAACACCGGUGGCGAAGGCGACUUUCUGGACUGUAACUGACGUUGAGGCACGAAAGUGUGGGGAGCAAACAGG
rnacentral:rRNA from 1 species